rnacentral:rRNA from 1 species
AACCUUUCGUUCGAUGAAUACCGGUUAAUCUUGUGCCAGCAGCAGCGGUAAUGCAAGUGGUGUAAACGUUCUAUAGGUUGAUUAGGUGUAAAGAGUGAUUUGGACAUGAGGUUUAUAUGUGUAGUGAAAAUUUAUUAUCAGUGUCACGGACGAAGUCAUUAGAGUAAUUCUAGAUUUGAUGUGGUGUAGGAAUGUGAAUUGUAAUGGUGAAAUCUGUAUAUAAUUGGUAGAAAAUUGAUUUGAUAUUGGUAGCUUAUCUUUGGUAGAUAUUCUAUUCACGAAAGCUUGAGGUGUGACAGGGAUUAGAUACCCCAUUAAUUCAAGUGAUAAAUUAUGGCUUAUUGUAGAUUGGAUCUAUUUUUAACAUGUGAAGGUUCUUAACCUAAGGAGUACGUUUUCAUAAAUGAAACUUAAAUGUUCUGGUGGUGGUUUAGAACAAUAGUGGAAUAGAUGAUUUAAUUCGAUGUUAUGCGAUAAAGCUUAUCACUUAUCAUUUUUAAUACCUAGGUAUAGGUAGAAUUUUAUUCAAGGUAGUGCAUGGCUGUU